AUUGAACGCUGGCGGCAGGCCUAACACAUGCAAGUCGAGCGGAUGAAGGGAGCUUGCUCCUGGAUUCAGCGGCGGACGGGUGAGUAAUGCCUAGGAAUCUGCCUGGUAGUGGGGGAUAACGUCCGGAAACGGGCGCUAAUACCGCAUACGUCCUGAGGGGGAAAGUGGGGGAUCUUCGGACCUCACGCUAUCAGAUGAGCCUAGGUCGGAUUAGCUAGUUGGUGGGGUAAAGGCCUACCAAGGCGACGAUCCGUAACUGGUCUGAGAGGAUGAUCAGUCACACUGGAACUGAGACACGGUCCAGACUCCUACGGGAGGCAGCAGUGGGGAAUAUUGGACAAUGGGCGAAAGCCUGAUCCAGCCAUGCCGCGUGUGUGAAGAAGGUCUUCGGAUUGUAAAGCACUUUAAGUUGGGAGGAAGGGCAGUAAGUUAAUACCCUGCUGUUUUGACGUUACCAACAGAAUAAGCACCGGCUAACUUCGUG
rnacentral:rRNA from 1 species